rnacentral:lncRNA from 1 species
GGGAAAGCAAAAUUACCCGACCCAUCUCUUCAAUGUGUAAGAUUCAGGCACCAACUUUGAAUUCUUAGCAACAGAAUCACAAUUCUCAGAAAAAUUCCCAAUUUGAUUUCGACAUUUUCUCAAUCCAGGACCAUCAUCAAUUUUCCCAAUCAAAUUCAAAUCAAUCCCUAAUCUCUCCAACUCAUUACUCCCAAUUCUCCUCCUCUUCAACACCGUCCUCUCACAAUCAACCUCAAUUGAACUUCUCUUCCGUCUCCGGCGCGUGUAAACAAACAAAAGCGGCGGUUUAGGAUAAUCCUCCACAGAAAACAACGUCAUCUUCGACAAGGUUUUUUCAAUUUCAAUCGGGGAAUCAUCGAUUUCACCAUUACUGAACUGAAUCUCGCUGUCUUCGUUGUUGUUGUUGGAGAGUUUUCGUGCUUUAACUUUUUUGGACAUGACAUUGGAUGAACCGCUACAAGGUGACGUAGCGGAGUAGAGAUGAUCGAGAGGAAGGUAACGAAUGGGAGUUCCGUCGGUUUCUUCGGUGGCGUUGGCGACAAUUCCUCCAUUGUUGGAUUCGGGUUGUGGAGGAAGCGCCAUUGAAGAAGAAGAAGAAGAAGAAGAAGAAGAAGAAGAUGAAAGAGGAAUUCGAGAAUUUUAGGGUUUUGAAGUUUCUGAGAGAGAAAGAGAGAAGAUGAAAAAGUGUUCGUAAACUGUUUGAGAAAAUGUUUGUGAAAGUUUUUUCACUAUAAAUUCUACAAAUGAAAUAUAUUUCCCGCCGUUGGAUCUGUCUCUCUCUCUCUUGUUGUUCAAAGGGAAAGAUGAGAGAGAGAAUGUGAAAAAUAAUGUGCUGUUAAAUCAACAAUUAUUAUCAGAAGAAGAUAUAAAGUGUGUGUUUAUAUAGGUGUGAGAUCAAAUAUGAGCAUGACAAAACAUCAGUUUUGCUGCAGAAGGCAGAAAGGGGGGAUAGAGCCACUAGAGGAUUGGAUAUGGAGUUUUAAUGGUUUGAUAUUGCAGUGUAUGUUUGGAACCACGGUGAGAGUUAUGGUUUAUGGCUUUUUUUUUAACUACGUUAGAGGGAGUUUAAUCUGUAUUUGAAAGUUAAAGUUGUGAUUUGUAACUUCGUUUUGCAACCAUCGAGAAUGAAACAUAUGUAAAGUGAAUGAUCUGAG